AGGAUUAUAGUUUAUAAAUAAAACUUUUGAUUUGCAUUCAAAAAAAAUUAAAUUAAUUUAAUUUAUCUUA
rnacentral:tRNA from 1 species